AAAGUCUUAAGACAAUAAAAGUGUAAUAAAAAAAAAAAAAAUCUGUUCUUAUCAGUUAAUAUCUGAUACGUCCCCUAUCCGGGGACCAUAUAUUAAAUUGAUUUUUGGAACAGGGAGAUGGAAUAGGGGCUUGCUCCGUCCACUCCACGCAUCGACCUGGUAUUGCAGUACCUCCAGGAACGGUGCACCCCCC